UGGCUCAGAACGAACGCUGGCGGCAUGGAUUAGGCAUGCAAGUCGAACGAAGCAGCAAUGCUUAGUGGCGCAAGGGUGAGGAACACGUGAGUGACCUACCCGCAAGUUUGGAACAGCUCCUGGAAACGGGAAUUAAUACCGGAUGUGAUCAUGAGACCGCAUGGUUUCAUGAUUAAAGCAGUAAUGCGCUUGCGGAUGGGCUCGCGUCCCAUUAGCUAGUUGGUGAGGUAACGGCCCACCAAGGCCAUGAUGGGUAGCUGGUCUGAGAGGACGACCAGCCACACUGGGACUGAGAACUGCCCAGACUCCUACGGGAGGCUGCAGUCGAGAAUUUUGGGCAAUGGACGAAAGUCUGAACCCCCAGCAAUGCCGCGUGCGGGAUGAAGGUCUUCGGAUUGUAAACCGCUGUUUGGAGGGACGAAAAUUGACGGUACUUCCAGAGGAAGCCACGGCUAACUACGUGCCAGCAGCUGC
rnacentral:rRNA from 1 species